AUACGUAGGGUGCAAGCGUUAAUCGGAAUUACUGGGCGUAAAGCGUGCGCAGGCGGUUUUGUAAGACAGAGGUGAAAUCCCCGGGCUCAACCUGGGAACUGCCUUUGUGACUGCAAGGCUAGAGUACGGCAGAGGGGGAUGGAAUUUCGCGUGUAGCAGUGAAAUGCGUAGAUAUGCGGAGGAACACCGAUGGCGAAGGUAAUCCCCUGGGCCUGUACUGACGCUCAUGCACGAAAGCGUGGGGAGCAAACAGGAUUAGAUACCCUGGUAGUCCACGCCCUAAACGAUGUCAACUGGUUGUUGGGUCUUCAUUGACUCAGUAACGAAGCUAACGCGUGAAGUUGACCACCUGGGGAGUACGGCCGCAAGGUUGAAACUCAAAUGAAUUGACGGGG
rnacentral:rRNA from 1 species